rnacentral:rRNA from 1 species
AUGGACAACAACAAUGAGGCCGGCGGUUCGGGCAAGCAAUUCUGGGAGCUGUCCCAGGAGAUGGAGGAAGAACCUCACCGCUAUGAGGACGCCGCGGAAGACACCGAUCCCGACUACACAACCCCUAGUGGCGUCGGGGAUGACACCACUGAUGGUGCCGCCGAGGAUGCUACCACUGAUGAUGGCAGCGCACGCAUAGAUGGCAGCCAACCGAAGAGGCAACGGAAGGACCGGCGCCCGAACGUGCUCGGCACCGUUAGGGAUGAAUUUACUGAAGUGUCCUCCAGUGGGCAUCCAACAGCGCCCAAAGAAUUAGUCAGUGGGUAUGCGGGACAACUCGGGUGCAUUCUCCGGAGCACCGUCUCGAUCAACACCGAGAACCUAAGGCAUCGUGACUGA